AACCAGAUUGUAGUGUUUUUGAUGCUUUUGGUAGGGUUUACAGCGGGGAAAUAAUGACAGGGCAGACCGUACGUGUUCUGGGUGAGGGUUAUUCACCUGAUGAUGAAGAGGAUAUGACUGUAAAAGAAGUUACAAAGCUGUGGGUAUAUCAAGCUAGAUACAGGAUACCCAUAAGUAAGGCUCCUCCAGGUGCAUGGGUUCUGAUUGAAGGAGUGGAUGCCUCAAUUAUGAAAACUGCUACUCUUUGUAACUUGGAAUUUGAUGAGGAUGUGUACAUAUUCCGUCCCUUACAGUUUAAUACUCUUCCCGUGGUGAAAACAGCAACUGAGCCUUUGAAUCCUAGUGAAUUGCCGAAAAUGGUGGAGGGACUUAGGAAAAUCAGCAAGAGUUAUCCUCUUGCAAUCACAAAGGUUGAAGAGUCUGGUGAACACACAAUAUUAGGCACUGGUGAAUUAUAUCUAGAUUCCAUAAUGAAGGACCUUAGGGAGCUUUANGAUCACUGACAUUUGUUGCUUGUGUCAUUGGUGACAGGUAAAUACAGAAAGGGCCAUUAGGCAUGCUAUUCUAGAACGUAUUCCGAUUGUUCUUGUGAUCAACAAGGUAUUUUGUCUUUCAUAUAAAACUGGUGAUGAUCCAAGUAAUGUUGAAACACAAUUUGUUACCUCUAAUACCUUUUUUGUCCAUUUAGGUUGACAGAUUGAUAACUGAGCUUAAAUUGCCUCCAAAGGACGCCUACUUCAAAUUAAAGCACAUAAUUGAAACUGUAAACACUCAAAUUACAGCUGCUUCGUCCACAGCUGGAAAUGCACAAGUAAUUGAUCCUGCAUUAGGAAAUGUCUGCUUUGCAAGUGCGACAGCAGGAUGGUCAUUCACUCUGCAGUCAUUUGCCAAACUGUAUGUUAAGCUUCACGGAAUUGCAUUUGAUGCCAACAAGUUUGCUUCGCGGCUUUGGGGUGACUUCUACUUUGAUCCUGAUACAAGAGGUUUCAAGAAGAAACCGCCUGCAAGUGGUGUUGAAAGAUCUUUUGUUCAGUUCGUUCUUGAACCUCUUUACAAAAUCUAUAGCCAAGUGAUUGGAGAGCACAAGAAGAGUGUUGAAGCAACCCUAGCAGAACUUGGUGUGACACUAAGCAACGCAGCGUACCGUCUAAAUGUAAGGCCUCUGCUGAGGCUGGCUUGCAGUGCUGUUUUUGGAACUGCCACUGGGUUUACUGACAUGUUGGUUCAUCACAUCCCUUCUGCUAAAGCUUCUGCAGCUAGGAAAGUGGAACACAUAUACACAGGUCCAAAGGAUUCAGCAAUCUACAAAGCAAUGGAAAAUUGUGAUUCUGCUGGCCCGUUGAUGGUUAAUGUGACAAAGCUGUAUCCCAAACCAGAUUGUAGUGUUUUUGAUGCUUUUGGUAGGGUUUACAGCGGGGAAAUAAUGACAGGGCAGACCGUACGUGUUCUGGGUGAGGGUUAUUCACCUGAUGAUGAAGAGGAUAUGACUGUAAAAGAAGUUACAAAGCUGUGGGUAUAUCAAGCUAGAUACAGGAUACCCAUAAGUAAGGCUCCUCCAGGUGCAUGGGUUCUGAUUGAAGGAGUGGAUGCCUCAAUUAUGAAAACUGCUAC
rnacentral:lncRNA from 1 species